UUCGCCAGGGAACUACGAGCAUUAGCUUAAAACCCAAAGGACUUGGCGGUGCCCUAAACCACCUAGAGGAGCCUGUUCUAUAAUCGAUAAUCCACGAUAAACCUCACCGUUUCUUGCCAACCCCGCCUAUAUACCGCCGUCGUCAACUCACCCUUUGAAGGAUUCACAGUAAGUUUAAAGGUACCCGCCAAAACGUCAGGUCAAGGUGUAGCGAAUGAAACGGGAAGAAAUGGGCUACAUUUUCUAUUCUAGACUACACGGACAAUCAUUAUGAAAUUUGAUUGUGAAGGAGGAUUUAGCAGUAAAAAGGAAUCAUCAUGUUCUUUUUAACAUGGCCCUAGGGCGCGCACACACCGCCCGUCGCCUCUUCAAUAUAAAAAUUUUUUAUUACAUAAUAAUCUAUUAUUAAACUAAGAAGAGGUAAGUCGUAACAUGGUAAGUAUACCGGAAGGUGUACUUGGA
rnacentral:rRNA from 1 species